AUUGAACGCUGGCGGCAUGCCUUACACAUGCAAGUCGAACGGCAGCACGGGUGCUUGCACCUGGUGGCGAGUGGCGAACGGGUGAGUAAUACAUCGGAACAUGUCCUGUAGUGGGGGAUAGCCCGGCGAAAGCCGGAUUAAUACCGCAUACGAUCCACGGAUGAAAGCGGGGGACCUUCGUGCCUCGCGCUAUAGGGUUGGCCGAUGGCUGAUUAGCUAGUUGGUGGGGUAAAGGCCUACCAAGGCGACGAUCAGUAGCUGGUCUGAGAGGACGACCAGCCACACUGGGACUGAGACACGGCCCAGACUCCUACGGGAGGCAGCAGUGGGGAAUGUUGGACAAUGGGCGAAAGCCUGAUCCAGCAAUGCCGCGUGUGUGAAGAAGGCCUUCGGGUUGUAAAGCACUUUUGUCCGGAAAGAAAUCCUUGACUCUAAUACAGUCGGGGGAUGACGGUACCGGAAGAAUAAGCACCGGCUAACUACGUG
rnacentral:rRNA from 1 species